GAAGAGAUAAGUGCUGAAAGCAUCUAAGCACGAAACUUGCCCCGAGAUGAGUUCUCCCUGACUCCCUGAGAGUCCUGAAGGAACGUUGAAGACGACGACGUUGAUAGGCCGGGUGUGUAAGCGCAGCGAUGCGUUGAGCUAACCGGUACUAAUGAACCGUGAGGCUUAACCUUACAACGCCGAAGCUGUU
rnacentral:rRNA from 1 species